AGUGAACGCUGGCGGUAGGCCUAACACAUGCAAGUCGAACGGCAGCACAGUAAGAGCUUGCUCUUACGGGUGGCGAGUGGCGGACGGGUGAGGAAUACAUCGGAAUCUACUUUUUCGUGGGGGAUAACGUAGGGAAACUUACGCUAAUACCGCAUACGACCUACGGGUGAAAGCAGGGGAUCUUCGGACCUUGCGCGAUUGAAUGAGCCGAUGUCGGAUUAGCUAGUUGGCGGGGUAAAGGCCCACCAAGGCGACGAUCCGUAGCUGGUCUGAGAGGAUGAUCAGCCACACUGGAACUGAGACACGGUCCAGACUCCUACGGGAGGCAGCAGUGGGGAAUAUUGGACAAUGGCGCAAGCCUGAUCCAGCCAUACCGCGUGGGUGAAGAAGGCCUUCGGGUUGUAAAGCCCCUUUGUUGGGAAAGAAAAGCAGCAGGUUAAUACCCCGCUGUUCUGACGGUACCCAAAGAAUAAGCACCGGCUAACUUCGUG
rnacentral:rRNA from 1 species